rnacentral:rRNA from 1 species
GUCCUAGCCGUAAACGAUGGGCACUAGGUGUGGGAGGUAUCGACCCCUUCCGUGCCGCAGCUAACGCAUUAAGUGCCCCGCCUGGGGAGUACGGCCGCAAGGUUGAAACUCAAAGGAAUUGACGGGGGCCCGCACAAGCGGUGGAGCAUGUGGUUUAAUUCGACGCAACGCGAAGAACCUUACCGGGGCUUGAACUGCAAGGGACAGCUCUAGAAAUAGAGUCUUCCCGCAAGGGACUCUUGUAGAGGUGCUGCAUGGCUGUCGU